GCGGAUCGCACGGUCUAGCACCGGCGACGGAUCAUUCAAGUGUCUGCCCUAUCAACUUUCGUCGGUACGGUAUUUGCCUACCGAGGUUCUUACGGGUGACGGGGAAUCAGGGUUCGAUUCCGGAGAGGGAGCCUGAGAAACGGCUACCACAUCCAAGGAAGGCAGCAGGCGCGCAAAUUACCCAUUCCCGACGCGGGGAGGUAGUGACGAAAAAUAACAAUGCAGGACUCGUUCGAGGCCCUGUAAUUGGAAUGAGUACACUUUAAAAGCUUUAACGAGUAUCCAUUGGAGGGCAAGUCUGGUGCCAGCAGCCGCGGUAAUUCCAGCUCCAAAAGUAUAUAUUUAAGUUGUUGCGGUUAAAAAGCUCGUAGUUGGAUUUUGGGCGCAGGCGGCCGGUCCGUCGCAAGGCGUGUACUGGACGUCCUGGCCUUCCCUCCGGUUCUCCGCCGGUGCUCUUGACUGAGUGUCGGCGGCGGCCGGAACGUUUACUUUGAAAAAAUUAGAGUGUUCAAAGCAGGCUCUCGAGCCUGGAUAAUGGUGCAUGGAAUAAUGGAAUAGGACCUCGGUUCUAUUUUGUUGGUUUUCGGAGCGCGAGGUAAUGAUUAAGAGGGACAGACGGGGGCAUUCGUACUGUGCCGUUAGAGGUGAAAUCUUGGAUCGGCGCAAGACGAACGACUGCGAAAGC
rnacentral:ncRNA from 1 species